rnacentral:rRNA from 3 species
CCUGGUGGUUUUUCCAGAGAGGCCACACCCGAUCCCAUUCCGAACUCGGAAGUUAAGCUCUCUAGGGCCGAUGGUAGUGCUUAGCGCGAGAGUAGGUCACUGCCAGGA